GCUUGGAAGAACAACCCACUCUGUGCACACACCCAGCUUUGCCCUACAUUUCGCAGCAGUUGUUGAAAUACUGAAAGAAGUCCUGAACGUGUAUCACUGCGCCGUGUGAUGCACAGGUGACUUUUUGUCCUUGGUAAUAAAUAACCGUUUGCGUCUGUCUCUCCGACCCUGACCUUGGCAACUAUUGAUGAGGGGAUGGAAGACUAUUCACAGCCUCAUCUACCUGUCAUGCUGAUGGAGAGAGAACAGCAAGUCAACCAUAGUAUACAGACACUCGCGCAUGCUCACAUCGAGAAGCAGAAGUCCCAGAAGGAAAAAAUGACAGAGGAGGGAUUGAACGUCAGCAGAAAGUGCUUCAUGACCCCGGGUGGCCUCGCUCCGCCCACGCAGAGAGCGAUCCAGCCUGAGUGAGAAUUUAUCAGCAGCAGCGCAUGCAGUCACACAAAGCUCCGUCUGACAGCGUCCGUCCUGUAGAGCCAUCGUCCCACGUUUACGCUGUAAUGUGGGCUCUGGGAGUUCCAGCACGUCCCGCUGGUCUCUGGAUGAGCAUGUUUGGGUGAGGGGGGCCUGGUUAGAGCUCUCUCAUUGCCUGUUACUGCUGAACAGGCACAUCUGACCCUCCAUAAAUUGGCCUGCUUUACCACUCAUUUACAAUGCUAAACGAGUGCUGUCUGUCUAACUGUCAGCACGCUGCCAAACGAGAGUUUCAGGGGGAAAAAGCCUUAUUUCUUUUUCUUUUUCCUGAAAAGAAAAAGAUUCUUGUCGUCUAUGUUUUGUAUUAAUAAAGAUAUUCUACCCAAUAAUGAGCUAGAUUUAAGCAGCAUAGCAAGUUUUGUUAAUGCACUGGUUUGCAUGAUUUCCCAGCAAAGUUUUUAUGAAUAAAAGUAACGGAUCCACACAGAAACGUGCAGUCAUGUAAACCGCACCUGUAAAUCCUUCAUCUGGUUUUAAGAAUAUGCUGUUUUAAGAUUAUUAAGACUUGUGACGUAGUGGGUUAAUGCUGACGUGAAUUACUUUACUUGCACAUGAAGUUAAAGUCACUAAUAUUGCUGCGUUGUUGCUGACUCCUGUGUCUUUGAAUACAGUCACAAUACUUUUCUUACAAGAAUUGAAGAGAAAAAAAGAAAAAGAAAGUCAAGGACAAAGACAUCGUCAUGGUGAUAUUUUUUAAACAUAUACAGUUUGGUCCAUAAUUUGUUAGAAAAAGAUGGCGACCAUGGUCUUUCUGGAACAAAGAGGCGUUUCCCCCUCAACGCUUUCAUAAAAAUGUAAACUUAUUCAGUCUUUUUCUAAUCGUACUUUCAUAAACUCUACUGUGACCCUGAGCCUGGUUCUGCCGGAGGUUUCUUCCUGUUAAAAGGAAGUUUUUCCUUCCCACUGUCGCCAAAGUGCUGCUCAUAGGGGGUCAUAUGAUUGUUGGGUUUUUCUCUGUAUGUAUUAUUGUGGGGUCUACCUUACAAUAUAAAGCUCCUUGAGGCGACUGUUGUUGUGAUUUGUUGCUGUAUGAAUCAAACUGAAUUGUGUUAACUCAGACCUGCAGUCUCACAUGUAGUUCUUGGGGUUUUUUGCAUUUCUCUGAGCACUGCAUGGUUUGACCGUGGGAUGAUUUGCUGGGAUGUCCAUUAGUGGGAAGGCUGUGGCAACGUGUUAACACACACCUGAAUGCUCCAGACCGGCCAAAACUUUCUAACAAUGCAUUUAUUUAGCAUCUUCUGGCUGCUAUUUAACCUCUUAAUUCCUAUAGAACCAAUAAGGAUGCACUUAGUUUUUCACAGACAGGCACAGAGCCCCGAUUUUUUUUUUUCUUGACUGUAGGUAGGAACCGUUUAGCGACUCAGUCAUGAUACAGAAUGUAAUCCCCUGAGACCCGAAGGUUUGUUUGGAUACAUCUUAUUUUUCUAUUUAAAACAACAACAACUUGGCAACAUGUUUUUAACAGAAAGUCUUUACUCAUAUGGAGACAAUAAGUUUACUUCAAAGUUUGAAGUAUAGCACAAUACAUAUAUAAUGACUGGUGUGAAAUGUUAGCUUAAGAAUCAAAUAUGUUAUUUGAGCCAUUAGCUAUUUUAUGGUUGCUUGAAGAAAUGCAGCCAAACAGACUUACCACAGCAGCUGAAUGUUAAAACAUGACAGCGAUGAUUAUAUUUAACAGUAUCAGUCUCUGCAGUGUUCUUCCAGCAUGUCUCGAUCUUCUCCCCUCUCCUUUUUAUUAAAGGUAAA